rnacentral:rRNA from 1 species
GUCCUAUUGUAUUAUUUAAUAGGUCUGGCCUGCCCAGUGAUAAUUUUAACGGCCGCGGUAUAUUGACCGUGCAAAGGUAGCAUAAUCAUUAGUCUUUUAAUAGGAGGCUGGAAUGAAAGGUUUAACGAGAAAUUAACUGUCUCAAUUGCAAUCUUGAAUUUAUCUUUUGAGUCAAAAGACUUAAAUAUAAUUGGUGGACGAGAAGACCCUAUAGAGCUUUACAAUUAUUUUUUUUAUAUUUAUUCAGAGAUAUUAUUUAUUUGUAUUAAAAAAAUUGUUUUGUUGGGGAGACAAUAAAUAUAUAUUUAACUUUUAUCAUAAUAUUAACAUUAAUUUAUGAUUUUUGGAUCCAAAAAUUUUGAUCAUUAGACUAAGUUACC